rnacentral:misc_RNA from 1 species
AACACUGUUAACCUGCGGUACCUGCGGAAGGAUCAUUACUGAGUAACGUGGUCAUUUGACCCGCUACCCGCCCUAUGUCAUAUGUUGGACGAGGUCGUCUUUAGGGCGGCCUCCGACCCCACUUCCCGGGAAGCGUUGCGCCUCAUCAGGUCUAGGCCUUGAUGGGGAUUUGGGACCGCCCGGGGUCUUUUUCAACCCUUUGUGACAAAUCUGAAGUCUGAAGCGAAAGCUUAAAACAAA